UACGAAGGGGGCUAGCGUUGCUCGGAAUUACUGGGCGUAAAGGGCGCGUAGGCGGCCCUGUUAGUCAGGCGUGAAAGUCCUGGGCUCAACCUGGGAACUGCGCUUGAUACGGCAGAGCUAGAGGAUGGAAGAGGGUCGCGGAAUUCCCAGUGUAGAGGUGAAAUUCGUAGAUAUUGGGAAGAACACCGGUGGCGAAGGCGGCGACCUGGUCCAUUACUGACGAUGAGGCGCGACAGCGUGGGGAGCAAACAGG
rnacentral:rRNA from 1 species